GACGAACGCUGGCGGCGUGCCUAAUACAUGCAAGUAGAACGCUGAAGGAGGAGCUUGCUUCUCUGGAUGAGUUGCGAACGGGUGAGUAACGCGUAGGUAACCUGCCUGGUAGCGGGGGAUAACUAUUGGAAACGAUAGCUAAUACCGCAUAAUAGUAGAUGUUGCAUGACAUUUGCUUAAAAGGUGCAAUUGCAUCACUACCAGAUGGACCUGCGUUGUAUUAGCUAGUUGGUGGGGUAACGGCUCACCAAGGCGACGAUACAUAGCCGACCUGAGAGGGGGAUCGGCCACACUGGGACUGAGACACGGCCCAGACUCCUAGGGGAGGCAGCAGUAGGGAAUCUUCGGGAAUGGAAGGAAGUCUGACCGAGCAACGCCGCGUGAGUGAAGAAGGUUUUCGGAUCGUAAAGCUCUGUUGUAAGAGAAGAACGAGUGUGAGAGUGGAAAGUUCACACUGUGACGGUAUCUUACCAGAAAGGGACGGCUAACUACGUG
rnacentral:rRNA from 1 species